rnacentral:rRNA from 1 species
GACGAACGCUGGCGGCGUGCUUAACACAUGCAAGUCGAGCGGUAAGGCCCUUUCGGGGGUACACGAGCGGCGAACGGGUGAGUAACACGUGGGUGACCUGCCCUCAGCUCUGGGAUAAGCCUGGGAAACCGGGUCUAAUACCGGAUAUGACUCCAUGACGCAUGUUGUGGGGUGGAAAGCCUUGUGCGGCUGAGGAUGGGCCCGCGGCCUAUCAGCUUGUUGGUGGGGUGAUGGCCUACCAAGGCGACGACGGGUAGCCGGCCUGAGAGGGCGACCGGCCACACUGGGACUGAGACACGGCCCAGACUCCUACGGGAGGGCAGCAGUGGGGAAUCUUGCGCAAUGGGCGAAAGCCUGACGCAGCGACGCCGCGUGAGGGAUGACGG